rnacentral:rRNA from 1 species
UACGUAGGGUGCGAGCGUUUAAUCGGAAUUACUGGGCGUAAAGCGUGCGCAGGCGGUUUGAUAAGUCAGAUGUGAAAUCCCCGGGCUCAACCUGGGAACUGCGUUUGAAACUAUCAAGCUAGAGUAUGGGAGAGGGAGGUAGAAUUCCACGUGUAGCAGUGAAAUGCGUAGAGAUGUGGAGGAAUACCAAUGGCGAAGGCAGCCUCCUGGCCUAAUACUGACGCUCAUGCACGAAAGCGUGGGGAGCAAACAGG